rnacentral:rRNA from 1 species
CGUGUAGGCGGUGCGGUAAGUUGGGCGUGAAAUCCCCGAGCUUAACUCGGGUGGGCCGUUCAAGACUGCCGUGCUAGGGUGCGGGAGAGGGAAGUGGAAUUUCCGGUGUAGCGGUGAAAUGCGUAGAUAUCGGGAGGAACACCUGCGGCGAAGGCGGCUUCCUGGACCGUAACCGACGCUGAGGCGCGAAAGCUAAGGGGAGCAAACAGGAUUAGAUACCCUGGUAGUCCUAGCCCUAAACGAUGAGCACUGGGUGUGGCCCCUCACGGGGCCGUGCCGAAGCUAACGCAUUAAGUGCUCCGCCUGGGGAGUACGGUCGCAAGGCUGAA